rnacentral:rRNA from 1 species
UACGAAGGGUGCAAGCGUUACUCGGAAUUACUGGGCGUAAAGCGUGCGUAGGUGGUCGUUUAAGUCCGUUGUGAAAGCCCUGGGCUCAACCUGGGAACUGCAGUGGAUACUGGGCGACUAGAGUGUGGUAGAGGGUAGCGGAAUUCCUGGUGUAGCAUUGAAAUGCGUAGAGAUCAGGAGGAACAUCCAUGGCGAAGGCAGCUACCUGGACCAACACUGACACUGAGGAACGAAAGCGUGGGGAGCAAACAGG